CUCUCGGGGUCUUCCUGCCCCCAGGUUCGAGGGCUCUGUGCUCCUUGCAGCAGCUGAGCAGUGUGUGCAGCCUGAAGCCUCAAAGAAACCCACCUUUUAUGGUCUUUCAGAACAAAAAGCCCUGGAUCACAUCACUAGGGAGUCCCCUCUCUCACCAGUGACCCUUUGCAGAGCCCCCCUCCAUCUCUGUGUGAAGGAAGGGGACCCAGUGUUGCCCCGAGGAUGGGAAAGGCCAAACCACAGUAGGACCAAACUGCCCCUCCUCUCCCCCACAUCCCUGCCCACUGGCAGAGGCUCUCCAGUCCAAAGCCCCAGGCUGCAGAAACACCCACCAGGCUCUGAGUUACGAGCAGCUCUCAGGAAUGCUUUGAAGUGGCUCAAACCAGAGGAGAAAGCACAAGCAAAGAGGGAUGAGAAGGUGCCGUCCACACUCUGAAGAAGCAGUGGGGAAUGAAGGGUGGUCCUGCAGCCUCCCCCCCACUCAUGGCCAGCAAGGUGAAGCCCACGCCACUGCUCUGGGGUAACACGGGGACCAGCCAUGGAACACGCAGGCAGCUCCUGCCCAGCCAGGCAGGAUGGGAGGGUAAAAACCGAGGGAAGACCCUUUGGCAAGCAGGAAAAGCUCCACCACCACACGCGCACACACACACACACACACUCAGGAGCCAACCUUCAGAGCAGAACCGCGUCUCCAUGCCAAGAGCUCGGCUAUUUUCCUCCCUCUUCCCGGCUCGCAGCUCUGAGCUAACAGGCUCAGCAUUCAUCCCCCCGCGCCGUGCGGCACAUGGGAGCAGAGGGGGGGAGAGGGAGAGAGAGACUCAAAUGAAAUCCAGACCUAGAAAGCAGUUUCUUUUUCCCCCCUGCCUCCCCCUUCGCCCCCCUCGGCUUCUGCUGGAAUCACCGUCUGUCUCGAGGGCUCAGGAGGAUGGGGGGAAAAAAAAAAAAAAAGGAAAGAAAUGCAGAAGGGAAGCAUUGGAAAAAAAAAAAAAAAAAAAGGAAAUAAAUAAAGGAAUCGGCUGAAAUCCACCCGGAGCAGGGCUGUUCCUCCUCUUAAAGUGCAGAAGCUGCUGGAAAGGUAGGAGGGCAGAGGCAGAAUAUAACAUAUGAAAAGAUCAAUAGCCUACCUGAAAUCCGGUCCCUCUCCAUUACUACGGGAUAUAUUUAGCAUCCGCGUGUCACGGCCGUCCCUUUUUUCGGUGGCGUCCCCUUCUUUCCCCCACUCUCCCUCCCUCCUUGCCUUGCCUCCUCCUCCUCCUCUUCCAAAAAAAGCUCUUUGUCUGGUCUAAUUUCUUCAAUCUGUUGCAAUCAUGAAUGCAUCCAAAUUACCACAUUUCCAUGUGCUGAUCAUAUGUUUGUGCUCCAAACUGAAGUAGCUUUGUCUCUUUGAAAUGAAAAAGAAGAGUAAAAGAGAAAGAGAAAGGAGGAAGAAAGAAAAAGGGGGUACAUGACCCGAAAAAUCCUGUAACUCCCUGGAAUACUCCACCAGGCACAGGAAAACUGGAAAUCCCGAGUCCUCUGUAAAACAGUCUUAAAGCUACAGCAUGCGAGUGUCCAGGGGAAUGCUCCAGCCUCCACAGCUCCCUCUUAAUAUCCACCAGGAGAUGCUUAAGGAACUUGGCUCCUCACAAUAACAGAGCGAAAAACUCAUCCAGCUUCUCAAAUCUCUCCCCGCUUCCCCAGUCUUAUUUUCCUGCUAUUUCCUCUAUCCCCUCCUCCUUCCUUGGCUCCAGCAUUCUAAAAGAGCGCAGAUCCUGCACGUUCCCCCACCCUGCCAGGUCUGAAGUUUCGAUUCAUGCAUAAACUAUUCGGCUGAUGAAGGCUGACUUCAUUCCAAGCACAGCAUCACGGGCUGCUGCUGCUGCUGCUACCAGGCAGGACCCGAGCGCCGCACAUGUUUACUCGCCCCGCGCAGCCCUCGCAGAGCUCUGCCGCCGGCCCUGGCACUGAGCCCCUGCUUCGCCUCCCUCCCCACGGCAAGGCGGCGAUCGGGAGGACUUCUGCAGCCUGCCAAAAGCGAUAGCGAAAGUCUCUGCCCCGGGCAGAAGCUCUUGGUCUUCUCCUUGGUCCCGCAGUGGAGCGAAGGUGGGGUUCGAGAGCAGUUUUCCUUCCCCGCGAUGCCCGGGCAGGGCACAGGGUGCAGAGGGAGCAGGGCAGCCCUGCAGAGCCCGGUGCUGGAUCCUCCUCUGGGAUGGAGGGAUGUGUGGCUGCAGCAGUGAGCUGGCCCGCUUGGAAACUUCCCCUUGGCUGGUGGCCCGGGCAGGCAGCGGGGACGCGGUGUUAGCACCUCCAACGAGGCACUGCCCACUGCCCACACACCCUGCACGGCCCUCCUGUGCCAUCCAGCGCCCAUCCCUCCUGACAGUGUGAAGCCUGAGCCUCCCAGCCAGAUGUGAGGGCACAGCCUCUGUCCCCAGAGCUGGCAAAGAAGCCAUCCAUCAUCCCACAUCCCCAAGCCAGGGGUGGCAGAUGCCAGGAGGGAAGGCACAGCUGCUCCACAGGCCAGGUGUGCUGGCAGAACCCUUGUAAGAUCAGCAUGGUACAUGUGACACUUUUUGCCCCCAAAUGCUCACAGUUCACAUGGAAAAACCCAAGUGUGAUAGAUGUGACAGAGCCUGGCACUCCUCUCAUAACCCGGGCAGAAGGACAGAUUGUUUCCCAGCUGGAUGAAUAAACUUCCAAGGGAAGACUCCAGGCAUUACAGGCAGUGCUGGGACUUUUGGACAGCCUGGACCCACAUUAUAUUAUAUAUCUUAUAAUAUACAUUAUAUUGGUUUUCAGUA